rnacentral:pre_miRNA from 1 species
UUAGUACUCCCUCCGUCCUAAAAUUCUUGUCUUAGAUUUGCCUAGGUGUGAAUGUAUCUAGUCAUGUUUUAGUAUUUAGAUACAUCCAUUUCUAAACAAACCUAAGACAAGAAUUUUAGGACGGAGGGAGUAGUUG